rnacentral:rRNA from 1 species
CCUACGGGAGGCAGCAGUGAGGAAUAUUGGUCAAUGGACGAGAGUCUGAACCAGCCAAGUAGCGUGAAGGAUGACUGCCCUAUGGGUUGUAAACUUCUUUUAUAUGGGAAUAAAACGUUCCACGUGUGGGAUUUUGUAUGUACCAUAUGAAUAAGGUUCGGCUAACUCCGUGCCAGCAGCCGCGGUAAUACGGAGGAUCCGAGCGUUAUCCGGAUUUAUUGGGUUUAAAGGGAGCGUAGGUGGAUUGUUAAGUCAGUUGUGAAAGUUUGCGGCUCAACCGUAAAAUUGCAGUUGAAACUGGCAGUCUUGAGUACAGUAGAGGUGGGCGGAAUGCGUGGUGUAGCGGUGAAAUGCUUAGAUAUCACGAAGAACUCCGAUUGCGAAGGCAGUUCACUGGACUGCAACUGACACUGAGGCUCGAAAGUGUGGGUAUCAAACAGGAUUAGAUACCCUAGUAGUC